GACGUAGGGCGCGAGCGUUGUCCGGAUUUAUUGGGCGUAAAGAGCUCGUAGGCGGUUUGUCGCGUCUGCCGUGAAAGUCCGGGGCUCAACUCCGGAUCUGCGGUGGGUACGGGCAGACGUAGAGUGAUGUAGGGGAGACUGGAAUUCCUGGUGUAGCGGUGAAAUGCGCAGAUAUCAGGAGGAACACCGAUGGCGAAGGCAGGUCUCUGGGCAUUAACUGACGCUGAGGAGCGAAAGCGUGGGGAGCGAACAGGAUUAGAUACCCCC
rnacentral:rRNA from 1 species